UGAAAGGAAAAGAUUUGAUGAUGAACUGAAAUGUUAUGCAACAGAGAAUGUGAAGUUCAAAAAAAUGAGGAUCCUUCACAACUUCACUAGAGGAGAUAGUUGCAGCCUCUAGAACAGCAUCUGAAGCUACGGUCAAAGUUGCAAUGGCUGCAGCUCUGAAGAAGGCAGUAAUAGUGAGUGACCAAAGUUGUCCGCUACAAAGAAAGCGUUAAGAAAGUAUAGAAGAAACUACAUCUUCAAUUUUAGUUGUCGUGGACUCUGGUUGUGGUUAAUUGUCAUCAGUGGAUUGUUUUGCUAGGUACUGUUAGUUUCUUAUAUCUUUGUAUUUGUAAUGAACCGCGAUUAGUUUUGAUUCUUUUUAUACUAUUUUCUGGUCUAAUUUAGUGUAAUUCAUUGUGAUUUUGUUUUUACGGGAAGUUGACCUGAGAACUGUAUGAAAUGGUGAAGUUGAAGCUUCUGCUAGGUUUUCAUGAGUACAGUGAAUAGCAAACAUAAUUGAAAAACGAGAUGACGAUCUGUGAUUCUGUGUUAUUAUAAGAGUUAUAGAACAAAUAGCAUCUUCAAUUUUAUGUGUUGUGAACUCUUGUUGUAGUUAAUCGGCAUCAGUUGAAUUUCUUAGGGAUUGUUAUAUUCUUAUAUCUUCGUAUGUGUCAUAAAUC
rnacentral:lncRNA from 1 species